GAUGAACGCUAGCGGGAGGCCUAACACAUGCAAGCCGAGCGGUAUUGUUUCUUCGGAAAUGAGAGAGCGGCGUACGGGUGCGUAACACGUGUGCAACCUGCCUUUAUCUGGGGGAUAGCCUUUCGAAAGGAAGAUUAAUACUCCAUAAUAUAUUGAACGGCAUCGUUUAAUAUUGAAAGCUCCGGCGGAUAGAGAUGGGCACGCACAAGAUUAGCUAGUUGGUGAGGUAACGGCUCACCAAGGCGAUGAUCUUUAGGGGGCCUGAGAGGGUGAUCCCCCACACUGGUACUGAGACACGGACCAGACUCCUACGGGAGGCAGCAGUGAGGAAUAUUGGUCAAUGGGUGCAAGCCUGAACCAGCCAUCCCGCGUGAAGGACGACUGCCCUAUGGGUUGUAAACUUCUUUUGUAUAGGGAUAAACCUACCCUCGUGAGGGUAGCUGAAGGUACUAUACGAAUAAGCACCGGCUAACUCCGUG
rnacentral:rRNA from 1 species